UCAUUUUCGGUCCAAAACUUCAGAAAUCUAACUAGUUUGUUGAACUUUUGAGCAAGACUUCCAGUUACUAGUAAAAGGGGGGCAUGAUCUGAUCCAGUUCUAUCCAAAUGCAUAAUUUCCAGAUUACCAAGCAUAUCCUGCAGAUCCUGAUUUGGGACCACUCUAUCAAUUCUUUUAAAUAUACAAUCCUUAUCUGCUCUAUCAUUCCACCAGGUAAAAGGGAUACCACAUAAAGCAAAAUCUUCAUACUCAUGUGGAUAGACAUGAAGGCAACCAAUUUUCUCUUCUUCCACAUAACAACAUUGAAGUUUCCUCCAACCAUCCAAGGUUGCUCUCCUUCUCAUUUGACUUCACCCAUACCUAUUUGAAGUAUAUUUGUAGGAGGAGAUCUCCUUCCACUGGAACCACUUUUUGGAGGGGCUCUUGAUAGGUAGCGUAUCUCAAAUCUGGUUCAUGUUGUUGAUGUGUCUCCUUGCCUGUUGACAGUAGCCUCAUCUUCUAUUGUGUUCUCUUCAGUAAUUGAUGUAUUCUCACUUUGUUUGUUCCUUUUAUUACCAAUGUCCCCAUCUUUUUUACUAUCCCCUUGUUGCAUCGAUGUAGUAUUACUUGUUCAACAUUCAUUUCCUGCUGAUUAGUAAAAGCUCUCGAUCAAGUCUGUAUUGGAUUCAUUACUUUUUUGUUGAUCAUCUGCAUUAUUUGUCUAAAGAACUUGAUUCUCUUUCUCAAUAUGUUGUUUGUCCAUUUUCUGGUUAUCUCCCUCCCUUGAUUCAAUCUGGUGUUCCUCAUCAAUAUCUGUUAAAGCAACAAAGGCAUUCCCACCGUAAGUUUUGCUGGAAGUACUAGCCUUGUCACUUAUGCCAACACCUUUGUUCAUUGUAAAAGCUCUAUUUGUAGGUUCCAGUAUCUUCUGACGAUUCUUCUCCUCCCUUUUCUUAUGUCCUCUUAUUUAUUCUUGUUCUUCAUGUAGUAUUUCAUUACCCUUUGACUGCCCCUUUUCCUCACCAUUAUCGAUCCUUAGCUCUGGAUGUAAGUUUCCACAUUCCUCCUCAUCAUGUCCUUGAACCUUAUAAUGUUUAUAAUAUUUAGACAACAGUUCUUACCGAAUCUUCACUUGCUCUAUCCUUGACACCUUAGUAUCUUCAUUCAUAAUCUCAUUUUCAACAAACUUUGGGAAAUUCGACAUAAGAUGUACCAGAAUUUUAACUCGUGCAGAACUUGAUUUUGUUUUAUUUAUUGUGGCCAUAUCUAAAUAUAAUGGCUUUCCAACUGCUGUUGCCAAAGAUAAUAGAGAUUCCUUCACAAAAAGGUGGGUUUGAGAUCCGGAAAGGAUAUCCAAGUCAAAGCCUGCAUAGUUUCUUCUGCAACCAGAAAUUUUUCAUCAUAAAUAAGAGGCUUUGGGGAAUAUAAAUAUUCGUCCUUAGCCAAUAUGUAUUAUAUUGGACAUUACAUUAAUGAAGUUUUCUUCCUGAUCAAGUCUGAUGAGGACAUGUCUAUUGCAUAAUAGACCUAUCUUACAAUCUCAUUUGAUGUUGCAUUGUUUUUGAAUAAGCAUCCUAAGUUCCUCCAGCU